AUGACACCGAGAAUUUAAAGUGUCAACUGUCUCAGUGCUGAGGGGGAAACAGCAUGAAUUGUUGAGGACAGCUACAGCUGACUGACUCUGUGUGUUUGCAUAUGUGUCCUGCCUCUCUGCUCCCAGCCGUUAAGAGGCCAGUGUUGAUCAGUGUGUGUCCAGGCCUUUCAGAGCCACUGACACGCCGGCAGCACAAUGAUGAUGUCUCUGACUCUACUGCUGGCCACCCUGGGGCUCCUUGUUCAGGGUUCAUCAGCAGAUAUCAUCCUGACUCAGUCUCCUGAAUCUCAGUCUGUUGUUCCAGGUCAGACUGUCUCUAUCAGAUGUAAAACCAGUUCAGGUGUUAGCAAUGACAUUCACUGGUACCUUCAGAAACCUGGAGAAGCUCCUAAACUCCUGAUUCGUUAUGCAACAACUCGUCAGUCUGGAGUUUCAGAUCGUUUCAGUGGCAGUUAUUCUGGAACUGACUUCACUCUGACCAUCAGCAGAGUCCAGACUGAAGAUGCAGGAGUUUAUUACUGUCAGCAGAGUAACAGCUUCCCGUUCACACAGUGAUACAACGUCGUACAAAAACCUCCCUCAGCUGCAGAGGAACUGAUCUGAAUCAACAGCUGCUCUCAAACUAAAACACUAGAAGUCAAACUUCCCUGUGCAGCAACUUUACUUAUUUAAUUUUAAUUGAGAAAACAAAUAUUUUACUAGUUCAAACUACACAGAGUCAGGAUGGACAUUUAACCAAAAUGUACUUUUUGAUAGAAACAGUUUUUUGGUCAAAACUUAAAUUUUAUUACAAACUCACAGCUCAAAAUGAAAAAUAUUUCAACUGAAUUUGAUAAUAAAGCCAGUGUUAUAGUCAAAAUUCAAAUCCUGAGAAUGUCCAAGAUACUAACGUUCCAUCAAAUGUUCUAAAUAGAAAAUCAAUCAGUUUAAUUAAAUCAAAUUUAAUCAUUUUAAAAGUUUAAUUAGUGGGAUAUUUAACAGAAAAAAACUCUGUAUUUUCUGGUCAAACAUACAGUUUGUAUUUAGUGAAACAGUUUUCUGACCACAGUGUGAAUAAUACGUCAGUGAUUCAACAUUUUUGAUCAAGUAUGAAUAAAUGCUGUUGUUUGUGUUUCUGAACUGUGGAGUUGGUUUCAAUCCAAACUCAAACACACACUUCACUUGUUCUGCUGAGUUGUGUAACACAUCAUGGCUGCCAGGUCUCAGUUUUUACAAAGGAGUUUGAUUUUUCUACUGUCUACAGGAAAAGGUAACAACAACAAAGACAACCUUCAGCGAGGCUUUGAUUAGCUUUAAGAUGUGUCUGCUGCACCGAGACACUUUCUGCUUGAGCUGAGAAAAUCUGAAUGAAUCACUUCAACCAGUCAUUUCUUUGCAAAAUCAUCACCAAUCA